GAUAACUGCAUACAAGUACAUUCAGGAGCUGUGGAGGAAGCAGCAGUCUGAUACCAUGCACUUUCUUCGGAGAGUCCCUGCUAGCAGUACUGACAGCUCUCUGCUCUACCACAGGGCUCCACAUCCCACCCAGCCCAAAAAAGUGCACCGACAGGGCUACAAGGCCAAGCAAGUUUACGUUAUAUAUAGGAUUCGUGUGCACCAUGGUGGCCGAAAAUGCCCAGUUCCUAAGGGUGCAGCUUAUGGCAAGCCUGUCCACUGUGGUGUUAACCAGCUAAAGUAUGCUUGAAGUCCAUUGAAGACGAGAAAGCUGGACGCCACUGUGGGGUUCUAAGAGUCCUGAAUUCACAUAUAUAUAUAUAUAUUCAACAUACAAAAUGUUUGAAGUUAUCCUCAUUCAUCCACUCCAUAAUGCUGUCAGAAAAAAUCCUGCCACCCAGUGGAUCACCAAACCAGUCCACAAGCAAAGGGUGAUGCAUGGGCUGACAUCUGCAGGCCGAAAGAUCCGUGGCCUUGGUAGGGUCAUAAGUUCCACCACACUCCUGGUGAUUCUCACUGUGCAUCUUGGAAAAGGCACAAUACUCUCCAACUCCACCGU
rnacentral:lncRNA from 1 species